AGGAUGAACGCUGGCGGUCUGCUUAACACAUGCAAGUCGAACGGAGUAGCAAUACUUAGUGGCGGACGGGUGAGUAACGCGUGAGAAUCUACCUUCAGGACGGAGACAACAGUUGGAAACGACUGCUAACCCCCGAUGUACUGAAAAGGCAAAUAUUUAUAGCCUGAAGAAGAGCUCGCGUCCGAUUAGCUAGUUGGAGAGGUAAAAGCUCACCAAGGCGACGAUGGGUAGCUGGCUUGAGAGAGCGACCAGCCACACUGGGACUGAGACACGGCCCAGACUCCUACGGGAGGCAGCAGUGAGGAAUUUUCCGCAAUGGGCGAAAGCCUGACGGAGCGACGCCGCGUGUGGGAGAAGGCCUUCGGGUCGUAACCACUGUCGAAGGGGAAGAUAUUGACGGUACCCUUGGAGGAAGCCCCGGCUAACUACGCGCCAGCAGCCGC
rnacentral:rRNA from 1 species